rnacentral:tRNA from 1 species
UCCCUGGUGGCUCAGAUGGUAAAGCGUCUGCCUACAAUGCAGCAGACCUGGGUUUGAUCCCUGGGUCGGGAA